CGAGGACGAACGCUGGCGGCGUGCCUAAUACAUGCAAGUCGAACGGUCUUUCUAUGGAAGCUUGCUUCCACUGAGAAGAUAGUGGCGAACGGGUGAGUAACACGUGGGUAACCUGCCCAUAAGAGGGGGGAUAACAUCCGGAAACGGGUGCUAAUACCGCAUAGUUUUCUUGAUCGCAUGAUCGGGAAAGGAAAGACGGCCUUUGUGCUGUCGCUUAUGGAUGGACCCGCGGCGUAUUAGUUAGUUGGUGAGGUAACGGCUCACCAAGACGAUGAUACGUAGCCGACCUGAGAGGGUGAUCGGCCACAUUGGGACUGAGACACGGCCCAAACUCCUACGGGAGGCAGCAGUAGGGAAUCUUCCGCAAUGGACGAAAGUCUGACGGAGCAACGCCGCGUGAGUGAAAGAAGGUUUUCGGAUCGUAAAACUCUGUUGUCAGAGAAGAACAAGUUGGAGAGUAACUGCUCCAGCCUUGACGGUAUCUGACCAGAAAGCCACGGCUAACUACGUGCCAGCCGCCGC
rnacentral:rRNA from 1 species